rnacentral:rRNA from 1 species
AGAAUCAACGCUGGCGGCGUGCCUAACACAUACAAGUCGCACGAGAAAGGGGAGCAAUCCCUGAGUACAGUGGCGCACGGGUGAGUAACACGUGAAUAAUCUACCUCCGAGUGGGGAAUAACUGAGAGAAAUCUUAGCUAAUACCGCAUAACACUUACGAGUCAAAGCAGCAAUGCGCUUGGAGAGGAGUUCGCGGCCGAUUAGUUAGUUGGCGGGGUAAUGGCCCACCAAGACGAUGAUCGGUA